CCUACGGGGGGCAGCAGUCGAGAAUCAUUCACAAUGGGGGAAACCCUGAUGGUGCGACGCCGCGUGGGGGAAUGAAGGUCUUCGGAUUGUAAACCCCUGUCAUGUGGGAGCAAAUUAAAAAGAUAGUACCACAAGAGGAAGAGACGGCUAACUCUGUGCCAGCAGCCGCGGUAAUACAGAGGUCUCAAGCGUUAUUCGGAAUCACUGGGCGUAAGGCGUGCGUAGGCUGUUUCGUAAGUCGUGUGUGAAAGGCGCGGGCUCAACCCGCGGACGGCACAUGAUACUGCGAGACUAGAGUAAUGGAGGGGGAACCGGAAUUCUCGGUGUAGCAGUGAAAUGCGUAGAUAUCGAGAGGAACACUCGUGGCGAAGGCGGGUUCCUGGACAUUAACUGACGCUGAGGCACGAAGGCCAGGGGAGCGAAAGGGAUUAGAUACCCGGGUAGUC
rnacentral:rRNA from 1 species